GACGAACGCUGGCGGCGUGCUUAACACAUGCAAGUCGAACGGUGAAGCGCUUUCCUUUUUGGUUGGUGUGGAUGAGUGGCGAACGGGUGAGUAACACGUGAGUAACCUGCCCCCUUCUUCUGGAUAACCGCAUGAAAGUGUGGCUAAUACGGGAUAUUCUGCGCCUGCUGCAUGGUGGGUGUGGGAAAGAUUGUGCCUUUGGGUGUUUUCGGUGGGGGAUGGGCUCGCGGCCUAUCAGCUUGUUGGUGGGGUGAUGGCCUACCAAGGCGGUGACGGGUAGCCGGCCUGAGAGGGUGGACGGUCACACGGGGACUGAGACACGGCCCAGACUCCUACGGGAGGCAGCAGUGGGGAAGAUUGCACAAUGGGCGCAAGCCUGAUGCAGCGACGCCGCGUGAGGGAUGGAGGCCUUCGGGUUGUGAACCUCUUUCGCCAGUGAAGCAGGCCUGCUCCUUGUGGGUGGGUUGACGGUAGCUGGAUAAGAAGCGCCGGCUAACUACGUG
rnacentral:rRNA from 1 species